rnacentral:rRNA from 1 species
UGGGGAAUUUUGGACAAUGGGCGCAAGCCUGAUCCAGCCAUUCCGCGUGCAGGAUGAAGGCCCUCGGGUUGUAAACUGCUUUUGUACGGAACGAAACGCGCUGAGUUAAUACCUCGGCGUAAUGACGGUACCGUAAGAAUAAGCACCGGCUAACUACGUGCCAGCAGCCGCGGUAAUACGUAGGGUGCAAGCGUUAAUCGGAAUUACUGGGCGUAAAGCGUGCGCAGGCGGUAAUGUAAGACAGAUGUGAAAUCCCCGGGCUCAACCUGGGAACUGCAUUUGUGACUGCAUUGCUGGAGUGCGGCAGAGGGGGAUGGAAUUCCGCGUGUAGCAGUGAAAUGCGUAGAUAUGCGGAGGAACACCGAUGGCGAAGGCAAUCCCCUGGGCCUGCACUGACGCUCAUGCACGAAAGCGUGGGGAGCAAACA